GCCGCUAUAGUAUAAUGGUAUUACAAAUCCAUGGUAAGGAUUAAAUCAGUGUUCAAUUCACUGUUGCGGCA
rnacentral:tRNA from 1 species